GUUGUACGGAAGCCUCUAGGGCGGCUGUUACCUCGGCAGCUUCUCUGUUAAAGGAUGGGCUAAAAUUUAAAAUUGUAAAGACUUAACGUCUUCGGAAAAGUGAUGCUUCCUGAGAUGGCGCUUUUGUCUUUUGGUUUUGAAGGAAGAAGCCUACUGAACGUUCACAAAUGCACUCAUGCUUGAAAAGGCCAGAAGAGAGCGUUGGAUCCAUCUCCUGCAACUGGAAUUAUAGAAGGUUGUGAGCUACUGUAUGGGGGCUGGUAAUCCAACCUGGGUUAUCUGGAAGAGCAGCCAGUACUCUUAACUGCUAAGCCAUUUCUCUGGUCCCUUAUAUCCUCUUUUAUAAUAACCACAAUAUUGUCUGUAUAUGAAACCAUUCAUUUAGGAUUGAU